AAUUGUCUCGUAAUUUGUAUCAUAGGCAACCGCGCUAUACUCAUAAGCUAACUUACUGUUGCUGUAGUACCACUGUAACCACAGCGGUUAAAUCGCGGUCUUAGUGAUAAUAGCUGGUACUUACUAUCAAGAAUUACUGACGUCAUGGUUUUUGACGUUUUUUUUUAAAUUAAUUAUGCGUCAUACUUUUAUUAUUCAUAAAAUAUUCUGUUGAUUAUUCUUAUCCGUUGGCACGCGUUACUUCGUCGUGAUAGUUUUAUGUAUUUUUAAUUCACAAACACCGUCUUAAGAUUACAAGAGAUUGAACAACGAAUACAUCGAUUGUAUUGCUAUCAAUCAUUACAGUUUGUUCAGCUCGUGAAUCCAGGUUACAGAAAUGGACGAAAAUAAUUCAAAUAUAUCUAAUUUUGAGAAAUUAAAAAAAGAUCAAGAGGAAAAAGAAAGAUAUGAAGUUGCCAUUUCUCUUCUUAUGCUUUCAAAUGGGAUAGACAGAGAGAAUCAUGAAAAAUGUAUUGAAAAAGACCAAGACAGAGUUGUUACAAUCAUAAUACCCGAAGACAGCGAAAACACAUAAUGUCCAUUUUAUAUUAUAUUUAUUUUUAUUUAUAUUUGUUAUUAUAAUAUAUACCUUACCAGAAAAAA